CCACUUAUAAAAUUUUAAUGAGUAUGCUGUUAUUGCAAACAUAGAAUGAGAUAUCAUUGUUUAUUUUAUUUUUUUUAAUGGAUUCAGAGAAUGUUGAUUCACCAAAAAAAUGUUCUACCAAUUUUGUUGGUAUUAUAUUUGCUUCUGAGCUAUGAUGGUGUUCAAGGAGAAACAUCCAAACUAGAGGAGUUAGCGUUGGGAAAACAACUUAAACAAUUAAACAAUCCACACAAUUAAGGCUGAAUGGGGAGAUACAUACGAUUGUGUGGAUUUUUACAAACAACCUGCAUUUGAUCAUCCAUUAUUAAAGAAUCACAAAUUUCAUCCUAAGCAAAUUCCUAGUAACUCAACCAUUGAUAUUUCAAGGACAUGGCUCGAUACCGAUGGUUGUCCUUCUGGAACCGUUCCCAUCAAAAGAGUUAUCAAAGAUGAUCUUAUUAGACAAAAACAUAUGCCUGUAAGAUAAUAUUACAUUAAUUUAUAGCUUUUUUGUGUACUUCAUU